GAUGAACGCUGGCGGCGUGCCUAAUACAUGCAAGUAGAACGCUGAAGGAAGGAGCUUGCUCUUUCCGGAUGAGUUGCGAACGGGUGAGUAACGCGUAGGUAACCUGCCUGGUAGCGGGGGAUAACUAUUGGAAACGAUAGCUAAUACUGCAUAACAGUAGAUGUUGCAUGAUGUCUACUUAAAAGGUGCAAUUGCACCACUACCAGAUGGAUCUGCGUUGUAUUAGCUAGUUGGUGAGGUAACGGCCCACCAAGGCGGCGGUACAUAGCCGGCCUGAAAGGGAGGACCGGCACACUGGGAAUGGGGCCAGGCCCAGGACUCUACGGGAAGGAGCAGUAGGGGAUCUUCGGCAAUGGGGGGAAGGCUGGCCGAGCACAGACGGGGGAGGGAAGGAGGGUUUCGGAUCGGUAAGGUCCGUUGUAAGAGAAGGAAGAGUGUGAGGGUAGAAAGUUCACGCUGUGACGGUACCUAACGAGAAAGCAACGGCUAACUACGUG
rnacentral:rRNA from 1 species